rnacentral:rRNA from 1 species
UACGGGGGGGGCAAGCGUUGUUCGGAAUUACUGGGCGUAAAGGGCUCGUAGGCGGCCAACUAAGUCAUACGUGAAAUCCCUCGGCUUAACCGGGGAACUGCGUCUGAUACUGGAUGGCUUGAGUUCGGGAGAGGGAUGCGGAAUUCCAGGUGUAGCGGUGAAAUGCGUAGAUAUCUGGAGGAACACCGGUGGCGAAGGCGGCUUCUUGGGCCUGGACUGACGCUGAGGCGCGAAAGCUGGGGGAGCGAACAGG